UACAGAGGUGGCAAGCGUUGUUCGGAGUUACUGGGCGUAAAGGGUGUGUAGGCGGUUGUUUAAGUUUGGUGUGAAAUCUCCCGGCUCAACUGGGAGGGUGCGCCGAAUACUGAAUGACUAGAGUGCGGGAGAGGAAAGUGGAAUUCCUGGUGUAGCGGUGAAAUGCGUAGAUAUCAGGAGGAACACCGGUGGUGUAGACGGCUUUCUGGACCGUAACUGACGCUGAGACACGAAAGCGUGGGUAGCAAACAGG
rnacentral:rRNA from 1 species